CUUGGUGUUUAAUACGCGUGAGGUAUACCUGUUCCCAUCCCGAACACAGAAGUCAAGCCACGUCGUGCCUAUGGUACUGCAUUUCAUGAUGUGGGAGAGUCGGUAAACGCCAAGA
rfam:Candidatus Gracilibacteria bacterium CG1_02_38_174 cg_0.2_sub10_scaffold_1474_c, whole genome shotgun sequence.